AGGAACUUAGGUUUAAUUUUAAACCGAGGGCCUUCAAAGCCCUAGACAAGAGCCACUCCUCUUAGUCCCUG
rnacentral:tRNA from 1 species